rnacentral:lncRNA from 1 species
AUGAUGACAUUGUGAUGUCAAUGAGGCUUCCCAGAUGAGAGGAAGGGACAAUUUCUCUUCCACGCUGAAACCUGAAAGCUGAAAGUCAUGCUCUGAUGUUCUCACUGAGGAGUCUCCAGGAAGAUCCACAUCCACAAUGGAUGCCAUAGCCUAUUCAGGAUUUGUCCCAGCAGAGAAGCCAGGGCCAAACAAAGCCAGGCCACACUUCACAAGGGAAACCAGCAAGAGGUCAGAGAGCCUGGCACAGUGAAUCCAUAGAGCUCUGUGUACCCACCUGCGUGGGAGAGGGAGGAACCUGAAACACAAGGCUGUCGCUACAGCAAAGAGAGCCCUGGGUGCUGAAAUUCUAACAGGUGAUGGAUUUCAAGACACUCGAAACACUAAUGGUGCUGAAGAAUUUCCAUUCCACUCGUGGUGUGUUUGCCUUCUGCACAGGCAUGUCUCCCAGUCGCCCAGGAACCCUUCUGUGAGUCAGGGGUGCAGUAUGGCAGAACAGACCUACCCAUGGGGCUGCCGCCGCCAAGACUCCAGGAAGACUGGGGGAGGAGGCUGCCACGACCACCACCAAGGUUCAUGGAAAAUCUAAGCUGUACCUAGCACCCCAGCCGCGAGGGGCCAUGACAGCAGCACUGAGCUACCUGCUAGAAGGAAGCUGGAGUUAGCACUUGGGAAUUCACUCCUGCCUCUUCAGUAAGGGAGUGUUGUGGACUAGUCUCACCUACGACGAGCUGGCAUAAAUUGAGACAUUGUUGGACGAGCCAGACCAUAGGCUGUAAGCCAUUCUAAUAAAUCCCCCCCUUUUAAUCUAUAUAUAGAUUCAUUCUAUCAUUCUAUUCUUAGAGAAGCCUGACUAAUACAACCUCUGACGAAAGAAAAGGCAGAGCGAUGGAAGGAGCUAUUCCCAUAAGACGUUUACAAACUGUUCACAGAAGGUGAAAAGAAAAAAAAAGGGAGAACAUUGGA